CACCAUACUGGUAGCGCGUCGGUUUUCCCUGGAUUAGCAGUCCUAAGUCGUCGGUUCUUUGUUGCUCCUAUGUCCCAACAAGGGAGCAAAACGGCGUAGUAGUAGUAGUAGGAAUCAGGGUACCAAGUCCCUCAAUAGUACGUGUCGAAUCCUUCGUGUUAAGAAGAAGAAGACCAUUAUGAUACACACCACAACGACAAUCUUCCCCGUCGUCGAACGAGUCCGCCCGCUACGCUCGAGCCGCUGGCUACGAGCAGUCUUCGGCUGACGCCCAGGCUCGAGAUGACGAUGUUGACGACCUAGCUCAAGCGGCCGUUUUCCACGCAGGCCUGCUGCCAGCGGCUGGGCAAGUUCUAUCGACUAUGUAGCAACGGCAAGUUGUUCAUGCGCAAGGACUGCUGCGUGUUGAGCAAGAGCUAGGCGCCGCUCGGCAGGGUGUGGCCUCAGGGCGCCUAGUGCGAAAUGUUGGUCCUGCUAAGCCAGUGGCUAGUUGACUUAUUGCCUCAGGCCCGCGACUACGACCUGCACAUGCUGAAGGCGCUGCUGUAAACCGAAACGGUGAGUUUCCCUCCCUUCACGAAGCUGAAGUGCCGCAAGCACUCAUUUAACUUGAACUGAUCACAAGAUCCUGCCGUAACCUUGACUUCUAACAUCAUAGUAGCCACUAAGACGUCCUCGGCCGGUAGCCGUGGUACUACCUCCAGCUCCGCAAGAACAGCCGCUUGGGCAGCCUCUAGCACUGCGACUAGGACCUCCUGAUACAGUCGCGACUGGUGCCGGACAGGUUCAACAAGCUGUCGCGCCCGGACUGGUUCAUGACCAAGGGCCACAGCUCGUACGGCGCCCUGCCGCCGCUGACCGGAGCGCAGGCGCUGUACUAGUCCGCGUUGGUGGCGGAGGAGCAGAAGUGGAGGCUGCUCUGCUUCGUCGCGCGGCUCCCCUAGCGCAUGGUCACCUUGAAGUACCAGCUUUUGGUCAUGCCGCUACCGCCCUACUCGAGAGCGCGCACGGUGUCCGCGCGGCUCAGGGACCGGGAGCUGUUGGCCUGCUCCAGCGACCAGGACCACUUGAUGAAAGUGUGCCACGGCGAGGCCCACUGCCGCACGCACCUCGUGAGCGACCCCGAGCGCCUGCACGAGGCCCGCACGGUGCGGCGGCGGCGGCUGGCGACCCGGUUGAAGGACCGGCAGCUAAUGAUGUUCUCUUCGCUGCCGCCGCCGCACAAGCUCCGGUGCCUGUACGAGUUGCCCUACGAGUAGACGCCGGCGCUGCUGCACGCGCGCACGUGCUUUGCUUGAGACUUCCUGCACGACAUACCGGACGAGCCGUUCCGACCCGACUACGGCCCAGUGCCACCCUGCUGCUCCUGUACUCUUCAGCAAGCCAAGAACAACCAACACGAACAGUACUUGAGUACAGCGCACACGUCGUUACGCACUCUCUAACCUAACCCACGGUCCCUCCUGCCUGUCCUGGUCGGAACGACGCGAGCACGUGGCCACGUGCGGCCGGCACUCUCGCGUUGAUGACGACCACCUACGAUCAUGAGGUAACAUGACGACCAUGACUGUGACUAUAACAGCUCUCUCUUUUCAACAACGAGGUACGUCUGCAACCUAUCCACGCCCACCCUAGCCCUGUAAGCACCUGUAAACACCAUACCAUGACUAUGACGACCAUGACAGGUCUCUCUUUUCAACAACUAAGUACGUCUGAACAGUAAUCGGUCUGAACAAAUCGUUUUUCAUUUUCUUUUCCAAAAUCUCUUUGAUCAUAUUUACGGGUACGCAACGUGGCCCGUUUUUUUUAGAAAUUUUUGAUGAAACAGAGAGUGAUACACGGUGAAAGUCAUACGAGUAGCAGUUGCUUCCCGCACACCUAGAAAAAGGGGCGGCCCAGAAGACCUAGAUAAUACAAAUCCAAAGGUCCCCUAGACAGGUUUAAGUUGGUCAAAAACACCAGAAGCCUCAAAGAUGUACGGUAGAAUACCAGAUGUAGUUGUUGAACAG
rnacentral:rRNA from 1 species